GGGGAGCUGUUGGCAGUAGAGCUGUUGGAAGUAGAGCUGUCUGAAGUAGAGCUGUUAUAAAAAGCUGUUUGUUGUUUGGUAACUAUAUUUUUAAAGUGCUGUGGUACUUUAAUAUAUGUUUGGUAAACAAACUGAGAAAGUACUUUUAUAUGACAAAAUUACCAUAAAGGACAUUGCAUAGUAUUAUACAAUAGAGCAUGAUAAAACAUAACAUAUAUUAA
rnacentral:lncRNA from 1 species